rnacentral:lncRNA from 1 species
UUUCUCUUUGGUUUCACACAGGUUGUCAUCAUCAAAAAGGGGGAAUAUGUAAGGGAAAACUGUCAUACAACAUAUGAUCAUAGGUUUCGAUGAUGACAAAUGACCACCAUGGAUGAAUCGGCAUUGUCGAUUCCACCUCUACAAAACAAAUGCAACAUAUCACCAAUCAUAUCCUUUUCUAUGCUCAUCUAAACUGUUAUAUCUCAUACAACAUAUGUGGAUAAAAUAUGGUCAUG